rnacentral:rRNA from 1 species
CUCUAUGGGUCGUAAACUUCUUUUAUAUGGGAAUAAAGUUUUCCACGUGUGGAAUUUUGUAUGUACCAUAUGAAUAAGGAUCGGCUAACUCCGUGCCAGCAGCCGCGGUAAUACGGAGGAUCCGAGCGUUAUCCGGAUUUAUUGGGUUUAAAGGGAGCGUAGGUGGAUUGUUAAGUCAGUUGUGAAAGUUUGCGGCUCAACCGUAAAAUUGCAGUUGAAACUGGCAGUCUUGAGUACAGUAGAGGUGGGCGGAAUUCGUGGUGUAGCGGUGAAAUGCUUAGAUAUCACGAAGAACUCCGAUUGCGAAGGCAGCUCACUAGACUGUUACUGACACUGAUGCUCGAAAGUGUGGGUAUCAAACAGGAUUAGAUACCCUGGUAGUCCACACAGUAAACGAUGAAUACUCGCUGUUUGCGAUAUACAGUAAGCGGCC